rnacentral:rRNA from 1 species
UAGGGAAUCUUCCGCAAUGGACGCAAGUCUGACGGAGCAACGCCGCGUGAGUGAAGAAGGUUUUCGGAUCGUAAAGCUCUGUUGUUAAGGAAGAACGAGUGUGAGAAUGGAAAGUUCAUGCUGUGACGGUACUUAACCAGAAAGGGACGGCUAACUACGUGCCAGCAGCCGCGGUAAUACGUAGGUCCCGAGCGUUGUCCGGAUUUAUUGGGCGUAAAGCGAGCGCAGGCGGUUAGAAAAGUCUGAAGUGAAAGGCAGUGGCUCAACCAUUGUAGGCUUUGGAAACUGUUUAACUUGAGUGCAGAAGAGGAGAGUGGAAUUCCAUGUGUAACGGUGAAAUGCGUAGAUAUAUGGAGGAACACCAGUGGCGAAGGCGACUCUCUGGUCUGUAACUGACGCUGAGGCUCGAAAGCGUGGGUAGCAAACAGG